UACAGAGGUCUCAAGCGUUGUUCGGAUUCAUUGGCGUAAAGGGCGCGUAGGCGGCGUGGUAAGUCACUUGUGAAAUCUCUGAGCUUAACUCAGAACGGCCAAGUGAUACUGCUGUGCUAGAGUGCAGAAGGGGCAAUCGGAAUUCUUGGUGUAGCGGUGAAAUGCGUAGAUAUCAAGAGGAACACCUGAGGUGAAGACGGGUUGCUGGGCUGACACUGACGCUGAGGCGCGAAAGCCAGGGGAGCAAACGGG
rnacentral:rRNA from 1 species